GACGAACGCUGGCGGCGUGCUUAACACAUGCAAGUCGAGCGGUAAGGCCCUUUCGGGGGUACGACGAGCGGCGAACGGGUGAGUAACACGUGGGUGACCUGCCCUCAGCUCUGGGAUAAGCCCGGGAAACUGGGUCUAAUACCGGAUAUGACUCCAUGACGCAUGUUGUGGGGUGGAAAGCCUUGUGCGGCUGAGGAUGGGCCCGCGGCCUAUCAGCUUGUUGGUGGGGUGAUGGCCUACCAAGGCGACGACGGGUAGCCGGCCUGAGAGGGCGACCGGCCACACUGGGACUGAGAUACGGCCCAGACUCCUACGGGAGGGCAGCAGUGGGGAAUCUUGCGCAAUGGGCGAAAGCCUGACGCAGCGACGCCGCGUGAGGGAUGACGGCCU
rnacentral:rRNA from 1 species